UACGGGGGGAGCAAGCGUUGUUCGGAUUUACUGGGCGUAAAGGGCGCGUAGGCGGUCAGCACAAGUCAGUUGUGAAAUCUCCGGGCUUAACUCGGAAAGGUCAACUGAUACUGUGCGACUCGAGUGCGGAAGGGGCAACUGGAAUUCUCGGUGUAGCGGUGAAAUGCGUAGAUAUCGAGAGGAACACCUGCGGCGAAGGCGGGUUGCUGGGCCGACACUGACGCUGAUGCGCGAAAGCCAGGGGAGCGAACGGG
rnacentral:rRNA from 1 species